rnacentral:rRNA from 1 species
AUUGAACGCUGGCGGCAGGCUUAACACAUGCAAGUCGAGCGGAGCGAGGGUGCUUGCACCUUAGCUUAGCGGCGGACGGGUGAGUAAUGCUUAGGAAUCUGCCUAUUAGUGGGGGACAACAUUCCGAAAGGGAUGCUAAUACCGCAUACGCCCUACGGGGGAAAGCAGGGGAUCUUCGGACCUUGCGCUAAUAGAUGAGCCUAAGUCGGAUUAGCUAGUUGGUGGGGUAAAGGCCUACCAAGGCGACGAUCUGUAGCGGGUCUGAGAGGAUGAUCCGCCACACUGGGGCUGAGACACGGCCCAGACUCCUACGGGAGGCAGCAGUGGGGAAUAUUGGACAAUGGGCGGAGGCCUGAUCCAGCCAUGCCGCGUGUGUGAAGAAGGCCUUUUGGUUGUAAAGCACUUUAAGCGAGGAGGAGGCUACUAGUAUUAAUACUACUGGAUAGUGGACGUUACUCGCAGAAUAAGCACCGGCUAACUCUGUGCCAGCAGCCGCCGCGGUAAUAC